GGUUGGUGUGCCACGAGGCAGAGGCAGGGCUGGGGUGUCCCAAGGGGGCUGGGGAACCUUUGGUGAUGGGCUCCAAACUCCCUGGCUGUGGCUCAGUGGUGUCAGUGCCAGCCCCCAGCUUUGCUGCUGCCAGGGAAUUGUCACUCACUCACAUCUGCUGCAGCUGCCACCAGGAGAUGUGGCCCUGGAUCUGUGCCAUUCUUCCCCAGUUACCACCACACCAGGAGCUGUCAGCCUGGCAGGACACACAGUUUUGCUUGCCUGGUUUCUUCUUUGUGCUUACUGAGAUUUGAGGCUUCUUAAUUAUCUAGAGAAAAAUUUUAAUCUCAAGAGAGAAAAGCCCAUGGAUUGCUUUUUCCUCCACCAGUGCAAACCCAGGGACAGAAAGACACUCACACAUAGGACAAGUUCUACCCUGAAGCCCCUGAUUCCCUUGGAAUUUUGUGGUGUAUUUUAGUGAAGGGAUGGAGGUGAACUGACUCAAUUUCCUCUGCCUCAGGUAUAUUAGGUAAAAUAUACACUAAGUUCCUGCUAAUGGCUGGCUGGAAGGCAAGAAUGAAUGGCCUUAAUAUGCUGAAGUGCAAGUGUAAAUAAUCCAGCUCAGACAGUCUCUAGGAAAGAUCUCAUUCACAGCCACAAAUCUGCAUCUACCAGAGCAGACAGGCAAGCAAACAAAAACCUUUCUCCAGAAGCAUUUUCUGAUUUUUAAGCAAACUCCACUUUUAUUUCAUUUAUCCUAUCUAGAGUAUUUGCACUGUAAUUGCAACGGAGAAGAGACAGUUCCAUGCACAAAUUUUAGAAAAGGAAAUAUUACUGGACAUUAAUAAAUGCAAAAACCUACUUAAUAGCAUUGUGCAUAUGAUUCAUAGUGAGAGUUUCUCAAAUUCUGUCUCUUUCAGUUGUAGACUGUGUCAGGGUUUUACUCUGAACUCAGUGCCUCACAUUUUGCAAUAGAAAAUUUCCAAAUUGUUAGUAAUUGGCUUUCAGCCUGCAACACAACUGGUGGAAAUUAGGUGGAAGCAACACUGGUUAUCCCAGAAGGCUGCUAAAAGCUGGAAUGUGGGUACAGAAACUAAUAAUCCUCCAGGCAUGUUUCUCAGCCCCCUGAUUUCCUGAACUCUGAGCACAUCACUGAUUCUCAGUGUUCAGGUACUCAGAGAAGCCCUGAGAUGUGUGACUUCAGAAAAAGACCUCAGGGGUUCACAGGAUAACAUUGGCACGAUGAGAAGCUGAGGAAAUGGAGUCAGCUCACCUCCAUCCCAAGCCCUUCCCAAGGACUGAGGCAGAGGCAGUUCUCUAUUUCUUUGCUGAUGAGCAAAGACUAAAUUGCCAGAAGACAUGUUUUCAACACACAAACUAAACAUGAACCAGGAUUUCACAUGUUUUUUACCUAGAUGCUAUUCCAGUUGAACAUUUUGUAAUUCCUCAUCCCACCUGGAAAGCUGGGGAGAUGCUGUCAUAUGUGAGAAGGGAGAGAGGCCAAUUCUGUGAAUUUAUUUCCCAAGAGAAUUAAAAUGAAAAGGCCAGGGGUCUGACUAGUCAGGGUGAUCCAUAACUUGGAUGAGAGGUUUUCCUUUGAAGUAGAUUGAAAAACUGAAGCAGCCAAGUUGAAAGGCUGAAAGCUUCUUCUUUUGCAUCAGGGAUUAGGCUGUUCAGACAAUAAAGUGGGAACUCUGUGAAUUAUAGUAGGGAGCAGGUCAAGCCAAGGUUGUGGCUGGGAUGGGAUGAAUCAGCUUUUCCUUUUACCAGGAGAGGGAAGAAAUUGCUCCAUGUGCUCAAUGCUUUGUGCUCUGCACUGCCAGGGCAUCAGCAAUGCCAGGUUCACAACCACAGGGAGUGAGGGAGGAACUUUGGUCCCAUCUAGACCUUUCCUAAAAACAGAUGCCUAAAACCAUGUGAGUUUUGCUCUCCCAGGAGCAGCUGGUGAUGCACGUGUUGCCCUGGGCUCUGCAGGACGUGAGUAUGGUGCUCUUGUUGGGGCUGAUGGGAGGAAGGAGAUUUCUCUGGCAUUAGAAUAAAUUCCUCUAAGAGCAGGGAGAGAUUUGCCUCUGCUUGGACACCGCAAUGAGCAAUGCACACAGAAAAGACUAAAAACCACAAAUUGGGUGGAGGCCCCUGAGCAGUAAGAGCUGCUGCAAUUUCACCAUCUUUUCUUUCAGACUAACCAGAGCAGCUCUGAGGGGUGGAGGCUGAUGGAACAGAGACAUUUUGGGGGGAAGAUCUGCAGCAGCAGGACCAGAGAGGUCAGCUUUAGUCAGGCUUUUUUCUAUCCUUUCAUGCCCUAGUCAGCUGUGUAGGAUGCAGGGAUGGAGCUCAGCGAUGAAGAACUUCACAGACACCAUUUCCAGUGUUUCCUGGCUGUUUGCACCAGUGCCAACCAAGGACUUGGAGCAUUUUGUCCCCUCCAUUUUGUCACACCUGCUUGGUGUGACAUCCAGCCAUGGCAUAAGCCCAGACUUGGACACCAAGUGAGAGUGGGCUCGUGUUUCCUCCCUGCUGCAUGUCAUGGCUCUGCCUGCAUGGAUGGGGAGCAGGAGCAGAGCUGGAGGCUGCUGUGCACUCCCAGGGCUGUGCUCAGGUGUGCAGAGUGUGCUGUACCAAGUGCUUGUUGUUACAGAGUUAUGGUGUUGACAUUUAGAUGUCACAGAAUAUUAAAUAACCCAUAAUUACAGUCUAAUUGUUCUGCCAGAGUUUUCAUUCCUUCAUAAUAUUGCAUGAAGAGCUUUUAUCUCCCCUCAGCAUUAUUGUGGCUAUUAUCCCCCCAGGAUGCCCCUCCAGCAUUCAUCCCCCCAGAUUGCUGUUCUGGGAGCUGCCAGUCUCUGUCCUGACUCCCCUGCAUGCUGUCCUCAGGAUGAGUACUGGGAUGGGUGGUUGAGGUGGAAUGUGUCACAGACAGUGCCCCAAAAGCACAUCAGAAGAGGUGUCAUUAUUCACAGCACACUUCCAAGCCUUGCUGGUUCUGGCAGAGGCUCAGCUUUGGCUGCCCAAACCACAGUUUCCUCUUACAGAUAUCAAGACUCCAGAAAGAGUGGAGCUCCCAGCGCUUCCAUUUCUUUGUGCUGCCCUGAAAGCCAAUGCUUCCACCUGCUUCUCUCUUCAGGCAGAUUUCCUGGAGGACUGAGCACACUGGGGCAGGACUAAGGGAGCUGCCCAGUGAGGCUGUGUGAGAGGGAUGAGCUGCAAGAAGAUGUCAUGGACAUCAGCCACUGCCUGAGUACCCAGCCUGUACUAACCUGACCAUGGAGCUGCACAGACGCCCCUUUCCAAAAACCCCUUUCCCUGCCAGCACCCAGGGAGGUGGCCAUUCCCAUUUGGGGAUGUCAAGAAAAUGAAGAUUUCUCUCUGCUGAUGUUUCAGAGAGUGGGUGGUGGCAGGUAUUCAUAAAGGAUGGUGGUGCCAGGUGAUGUCAGCAGAGAAAGAAAUGCUGAUGUGUGCUAAAACAACAAAACAUGGACUUUUAAAUGAAAAAAUCAAUGUCUUUGGCCAUCAAAACAUUUAUAUUGAAGUCAAGAUGGAAGAAAAUAUUUUUGUAAGUGUCAAGCUGGGUAGCCUCUUAAACACAUGCCUCAGUCACAUCCUGAACAUCACAGUUACUGAAGGAGUCUGUAAAGGGAAUAUUAACCAGUCAUCACAGCAAACCUCACAAUUUUGACAACCUCACAACUUUGACAACAGCCAAGAUAUUUGUAGCAGCUAUAAGGGAAACUCAGAAGGGGGAAAAGAAAGUGUUUAGAACAGGAGGACAAAGACCUAGGGGAGAUUAUAAGAAACCUCCCCAAGUUAGAAACCCCAGAGAUGAUCCUGCAGAUUGUCAUUGCUAUGGGAGAAGAGGAUACACAAAGUGAAGCUGUAAGCAACGACAAAAAGACAAAAAAAUGUUUGACGAGGACAAACAGAGGUGUCCCCUAAAUUCUUUGUGAUGUCUUUCACUAAUUCUUCCUUGAAUUUAUCUUGUACUCCCCCUUUAUCUGAGUAUCCCCACAUUCCACCUUUGGUAAAACAGAGGACUGGUUCUCCCCAGGGACAAAACUGAUAAUUUUGAGGGGCCCAUCCUCCCAUUCCUAAAUUUGUUGCCACACAGUAACUCUUCUCUCCUAUUGUACAGGUUUCAGGUUUUCCUGGCUCAUAACAUCUUGCAUUAAUAUGAGUGUGUGCUGCAAAGGCUCAGGCCAUGGUCUGGCCAUGCUUCACAUUUUGGUAGCACUUUAAGCACGGAUCAGUUAUCCCCUUCCAUGGAAGACUCAACAGUACCAUAAGGCCCCACAGUUUUAUUAUCCCUCUGCCUCUUUUGCCUACCAGUGCAGAAAUGGAAUUCCAUGUUAACUGACCAUUGGUGGAAUAAUUUGUUUGAAUGAGCCUGGUGAAGAAGUUGGGGUUCAUGUUGCUUUGUUCUGCAUUAGGCCUGUUGUUUAUACCAUGUAUGAUUCCAUGCUUUAUUAAGCUAAUACAUUCAGUAAUCCAGGGAAUGCAGAUUUCAGCAAUGCCCAUAAACCCUAAAAUAACAACCAUGGGGAAAAAAAAACUCACUCCCUUAUGAUAGUCAAGGCCAAAGCAGAACCAAAUAUAACUGCAACCCAAAAAGUAUUAGCUUGAUUUAAAGCAAAGACACUAAUCAAUAAUAUAAAGAAAAAGGGGAGGGAUUGUGGAAAAUGUUUUUUGUGCUUCAUGUCAAUUGGCAAUGGAAUCAGCAAAUGCUUAUAUCUGCUGCACUGAAAGUAGAUUCAUUCCCUGGGAUAACUACAAAGAAUGGUUUUGAAACUUUCUGUUUCAAGAAAUAACAAAAAAAAGCAUCAAGAAAGAAAACAGAGGAAGUAUAGUAGAGUCAAGAGAUGGGGUGGCAAAAAUGACUGAUGCUUAGAAUAAAAUAGAGGAAGCUGUGGUAAAGCUAAGGGAUAUUGCAACAAAGUGACUAAAUGCUUAUGUAUAAUAAAAAGCUUGAUGCAAUUGUA